rnacentral:rRNA from 1 species
CCUACGGGUGGCAGCAGUGAGGAAUAUUGGUCAAUGGGCGGGAGCCUGAACCAGCCAAGCCGCGUGAGGGAAGACGGCACAGCGUAUUGUAAACCUCUUUUGUCAGGGAACAAAGGCGGGGACUAGUCCCCGGAUGCGGGUACCUUAAGAAAAAGCAUCGGCUAACUCCGUGCCAGCAGCCGCGGUAAUACGGAGGAUGCGAGCGUUAUCCGGAUUUAUUGGGUUUAAAGGGUGCGCAGGCGGCCUGUUAAGUCAGCGGUAAAAGCCCGGGGCUCAACCCCGGCGAGCCGUUGAAACUGGCGGGCUGGAGUUGGAGAGAAGUACGCGGAAUGCGCGGUGUAGCGGUGAAAUGCUUAGAUAUCGCGCAGAACCCCGAUUGCGAAGGCAGCGUACCGGCUCCACACUGACGCUGAGGCACGAAAGCGUGGGUAUCGAACAGGAUUAGAUACCCUAGUAGUC